AACUAAGUUUGUUAUUGGUAUGAGCUUUCGUGUCUAUGCACUUCUUCAGAUACAAUCUAUCUACAAUCUAUUCAGAAGUAUCUGAAGAAGUGUGCAUGCACAGGAAAGCUCAUACCAAUAACAAACUUAGUUGG